GCUGUACAUGAUGACAACUGGCUCCCUCUACUGAACCCAUGCCAUGAGGAAACUGCCAUGUCACCCUUCUGACUACAGC
ensembl:snoRNA